AACCAUUCUCACCUGCGGCUAGACCUGCGGAAGGAUCAUUACAGAGUUGCAAAACUCCCUAAACCAUUGUGAACGUUACCUAAACCGUUGCUUCGGCGGGCGGCCCGGGUCCUUCCCGGCGCCCCUCGGCCCUCGCGGGCGCCCGCCGGAGGUAAACCAAACUAUUGCAUUGUAUGGCCUCUCUGAGUCUUCUGUACUGAAUAAGUCAAAACUUUCAACAACGGAUCUCAGAUCGGAAGA
rnacentral:misc_RNA from 1 species